rnacentral:tRNA from 1 species
CAUCGGGUGUAGCUCACCGGUAGAGCAGUCGAAGAGCGGGGAUCGUCUCCGGAAACGUAUGGGUCAAGCGUUGACGGAGCAGGUUUUUACCGUCCCCAGCGCGGCGUGUAGUGGGUUCGACUCCCACCCCCGAUGCCCA